rnacentral:rRNA from 1 species
GACGAACGCGGGCGGCGUGCCUAAUACAUGCAAGUAGAACGCUGAAGGAGGAGCUUGCUUCUCUGGAUGAGUUGCGAACGGGUGAGUAACGCGUAGGUAACCUGCCUGGUAGCGGGGGAUAACUAUUGGAAACGAUAGCUAAUACCGCAUAAUAGCAGUUAUUGCAUGAUAACUGUUUGAAAGGUGCAAUUGCACCACUACCAGAUGGACCUGCGUUGUAUUAGCUAGUUGGUGGGGUAACGGCUCACCAAGGCGACGAUACAUAGCCGACCUGAGAGGGUGAUCGGCCACACUGGGACUGAGACACGGCCCAGACUCCUACGGGAGGCAGCAGUAGGGAAUCUUCGGCAAUGGACGGAAGUCUGACCGAGCAACGCCGCGUGAGUGAAGAAGGUUUUCGGAUCGUAAAGCUCUGUUGUAAGAGAAGAACGAGUGUGAGAGUGGAAAG